AGAUUGAACGCUGGCGGCAUGCCUUACACAUGCAAGUCGAACGGUAGAGUAGCAAUACUCGAGAGUGGCGAACGGGUGAGUAAUAUAUCGGAACGUGCCCAGUCGUGGGGGAUAACGUAGAGAAAUUUACGCUAAUACCGCAUACGAUCUACGGAUGAAAGCGGGGGAUCGCAAGACCUCGCGCGAUUGGAGCGGCUGAUAUCAGAUUAGGUUGUUGGUGAAGGUAAAAGCUCACCAAGCCGACGAUCUGUAGCUGGUUUGAGAGAACGACCAGCCACACUAGGGACUGAGACACGGCCCAGACCUCCUACGGGAGGCAGCAGGUGGGAAUUUUGGACAAGUGGCGAAAGCCUGAUCCAGCAAUGCCGCGUGCAAGGGAAGACGGUCCGUUACGGUUAGUAACGUGUACGUUUAGUACCGG
rnacentral:rRNA from 1 species